rnacentral:misc_RNA from 1 species
CCGAGUGAGGGCCCCCGGCCCGACCUCCAUCCCUUUGUUAUCAAAACCACUGUUGCCUCGGGGGCGACCCGGGCCCGUCGGCCCAGGGCCCCCGAAGGACAAUUUCAAAACACUGCAUCUUUGCGUCGGAUUACAAAGUUUAAUGAAUUA